UCCUAAACUUAGGAUUUAGUGUUUGAUACAAUGUAUUGGGGAAAAUGGAUACUUAAGACUCUUCUUGAAUUUGUUUAUGACUCGAGAGUAAUUAUACACAGAUUUGUCAAAACAUAUUCCAAACACAGAGUGUGCUUUUCUUAAGCUUGUUCUUAAAAAAGAAAAGUUUAGUAUGGUAUUGAAGGGUGAAAGAAGCGAACAAGACUCGAUGGUCAACUCCGUAGAUUAAGAAGAUCCCUGACGUCUUCAACUCUUACCUUAAUUUAGUUGAUCUAUGGUAUAUUAGAAUAAACUCCUAUAUUAUUUUAUAUACUUCGUGUGCACUGCCUCUAAGGGAUGUUACGUUCAAAGAUGAGACCCCGUACUUCAUUCUUUAACACUAGCCUUAUAUUAUCUUCUCCAACACUAAACUCCUUUAACUUUCUCUUCAGUCAACUGUAUCAUUCAGUUUUUUCAUCUCGAUUAUUGACUUCGGAUUUGGUGCUUGAUACAAUAUGGUCGGAAAAUUAAUGCUUUGAACUCUUGUUGAAUUUAUUUAUAACUCAAGAAUACUUAUACAUAGACUCGUCAAAAGCGUAUUCUAAUACAGAACAAACUUAUUAAACUUGUUCUCUGAAAAAAGUGCUCAAGAGCCUUGCGCUCUUAUUGUAAAUUUACCUUAAAUGCCCCAAUAUACUUAUUAAUCUUCCUUAGUAUAAAAAUGAACUAUUCCGAAAAUUGUCAAUGAAAUAAAUGGGAUUAAAUGUAUGCUGUGGAAUUGUAUAGAUUUAGAAUUACAUUUCUAAAUUAGAACAGAAGAUAAUUAACUAAAUGAAAUUAUAGUAACACAAAAAUUAAUUAUAUAAUGUUAUUUGUUCUUGGUAAUCCCUGUGCCACUCUAUCGUACAUAUUCCAGAGAGCUGGUGGAUGCUUAGCAACUCUUCUGGCUAAACCGUAUGGUCUACCUAUGUAUAUUUCUUCAAAAUAGUCUGCAACGACUCGCAGUUC
rnacentral:lncRNA from 1 species